rnacentral:rRNA from 1 species
AUGGAGCCUACCAUGCAGUCGAGCGGAAACGAGUUAUCUGAACCUUCGGGGAACGAUAACGGCGUCGAGCGGCGGACGGGUGAGUAAUGCCUGGGAAAUUGCCCUGAUGUGGGGGAUAACCAUUGGAAACGAUGGCUAAUACCGCAUAAUAGCUUCGGCUCAAAGAGGGGGACCUUCGGGCCUCUCGCGUCAGGAUAUGCCCAGGUGGGAUUAGCUAGUUGGUGAGGUAAGGGCUCACCAAGGCGACGAUCCCUAGCUGGUCUGAGAGGAUGAUCAGCCACACUGGAACUGAGACACGGUCCAGACUCCUACGGGAGGCAGCAGUGGGGAAUAUUGCACAAUGGGCGCAAGCCUGAUGCAGCCAUGCCGCGUGUAUGAAGAAGGCCUUCGGGUUGUAAAGUACUUUCAGCAGUGAGGAAGGCGGGUACGUUAAUAGCGUGCUCGUUUGACGUUAGCUGCAGAAGAAGCACCGGCUAACUCCGUGCCAGCAGCCGCGGUAAUACGGAGGGUGCGAGCGUUAAUCGGAAUUACUGGGCGUAAAGCGCAUGCAGGUGGUUUGUUAAGUCAGAUGUGAAAGCCCGGGGCUCAACCUCGGAAUUGCAUUUGAAACUGGCAGACUAGAGUACUGUAGAGGGGGGUAGAAUUUCAGGUGUAGCGGUGAAAUGCGUAGAGAUCUGAAGGAAUACCGGUGGCGAAGGCGGCCCCCUGGACAGAUACUGACACUCAGAUGCGAAAGCGUGGGGAGCAAACAGGAUUAGAUCCCUGGGU